rnacentral:rRNA from 1 species
UACGAAGGGGGCUAGCGUUGCUCGGAAUCACUGGGCGUAAAGCGCACGUAGGCGGACUCUUAAGUCGGUGGUGAAAUCCUGGAGCUCAACUCCAGAACUGCCUUUGAUACUGGGAAUCUCGAGUCCGGGAGAGGUGAGUGGAACUGCGAGUGUAGAGGUGAAAUUCGUAGAUAUUCGCAAGAACACCAGUGGCGAAGGCGGCUCACUGGCCCGGUACUGACGCUGAGGUGCGAAAGCGUGGGGAGCAAACAGG